rnacentral:rRNA from 1 species
GUGAACGCUGGCGGUCGACCUCACACAUGCCAGUCGCACGGCAGCACAGUAAGAGCUUGCUCUUACGGGUGGCGAGUGGCGGACGGGUGAGGAAUACAUCGGAAUCUACUUUUUCGUGGGGGAUAACGUAGGGAAACUUACGCUAAUACCGCAUACGACCUACGGGUGAAAGCAGGGGAUCUUCGGACCUUGCGCGAUUGAAUGAGCCGAUGUCGGAUUAGCUAGUUGGCGGGGUAAAGGCCCACCAAGGCGACGAUCCGUAGCUGGUCUGAGAGGAUGAUCAGCCACACUGGAACUGAGACACGGUCCAGACGCCUACGGGAGGCAGCAGUGGGGAAUAUUGGACAAUGGGCGCAAGCCUGAUCCAGCCAUACCGCGUGGGUGAAGAAGGCCUUCGGGUUGUAAAGCCCUUUUGUUGGGAAAGAAAAGCAGCAGGUUAAUACCCCGCUGUUCUGACGGUACCCAAAGAAUAAGCACCGGCUAACUUCGUG